GACGAACGCUGGCGGCGUGCUUAACACAUGCAAGUCGUACGGUAAGGCCCUUUCGGGGGUACACGAGUGGCGAACGGGUGAGUAACACGUGAGUAACCUGCCCACAACUUUGGGAUAACGCUAGGAAACUGGUGCCAAUACUGGAUAUGUGCUCCUGCUGCAUGGUGGGGGUUGGAAAGCUCCGGCGGUUGUGGAUGGACUCGCGGCCUAUCAGCUUGUUGGUGGGGUAGUGGCCUACCAAGGCGGCGACGGGUAGCCGGCCUGAGAGGGUGACCGGCCACAUUGGGACUGAGAUACGGCCCGGACUCCUACGGGAGGCAGCAGUGGGGAAUAUUGCACAAUGGGCGCAAGCCUGAUGCAGCAACGCCGCGUGCGGGAUGACGGCCUUCGGGUUGUAAACCGCUUUCAGCAGGGACGAAGCUUUUUGUGACGGUACCUGCAGAAGAAGCACCGGCUAACUACGUG
rnacentral:rRNA from 1 species